rnacentral:rRNA from 1 species
AAUCAACGCUGGCGGCGUGCCUAACACAUGCAAGUCGAACGAGAAAGUGGAGCAAUCCAUGAGUAAAGUGGCGCACGGGUGAGUAACACGUGACUAACCUACCCAGGAGUGGGGGAGUAACUGAGGGAAACCGUUAAGCUAAUACCGCAUAACAUCUACGGGUCGAAAGGAAGCAAUUCGCUCCUGGAGGGGGUCGGCGG